ACACGUUGCUGGGCAGCCAUGGAAGAGGAGAAGAAGCAAACCCUCACCUAAACUUCAAUCUUUGAUAACUUUUGAUCCGGAACUCUGAUCGCCGCACCGUUUGCGAUAACGGGUCCGCGGCGUUGAGCUUUACAAAUCUCAGUACCUUUCAAGGAUCAAAUUGAGUUGAGGAAUGAGCGGGCUUUGGGUUGAUUGAGGCACAUACAAGGUAUGAAUUAAGUAGAUAUAUAUGCAUUGGAGUUGAAUUGUGGGCAUUUGGAAGCUUGGUGGUGAUUGAAGCUAAACUUGUGGCUGGUUUCUCUAAGCUUGAGGGGCUGUGUGGUGACUUGGGGGGCUGCCUUGGACUAAAUAUAGUAAUCGGCUAAGAUGCAGGUCGAGCGGCUCCUUAGUAAGCGUCUGAAGGUUUUGUAGCGAAGUGGUUUACUUUAGGGUCUCCUUUUGUUAUUUUGAUGUAUAUAUAUAUAUAUAUAUAUAGAGGUUUUAUGGAGAACUAGGAUUUUGAACAUAUUCUUUUGGGUUAUUAUUAUGUAUAUAUAUGUACGUAUAUGUUCUCCAGCCAGCCUUGACUUCACAGGCUGAGUCAGGAGCUAGUUAUGAUGUGUUCUUGGUCCUCUACUCGUAUCAUCUGUACAUAUAUGUUAUUGAACUUUAAUUUUCU